UUUUGCUUCUCCCUGCCGCCUUUAUCUUCACGUUUUUUCUUGCCAUCACGAGCCGAACACACGGGUCUGGUGACCCUCUUCACCAAGAACCAAAACACAUGGACAGUGACGAGGAACAUCAGCGGAGAACAAAUUGGCUCAUAUUUCGGAGCGUCUCUGAGUCUGUUGGAUGUGGACUCUGAUGGAGACUCAGAUUUCCUUCUGGUCGGAGCUCCAUUAUUUUACCAGUCUCAGCCGAGGGCUGAAGGGAGGCUGUACAUCUACGCUUUAUCAGAGCAGUAUUUUCAGAAGACGCUCAAUGUGAGUGAAUCCACCACAGGCAGAUUUGCUGCGUCUGUGGCUCCACUAAAGGACCUGAAUGGAGACAGUCUGUCAGAUGUGGCGGUCGGGGCGCCGCUGGAGAAUGGAGGAGUCGUCUACAUCUAUCUGGGCCACAGGAGGCAUGGCAUAAACCCUGAACACGCUCCUCAGCGGAUCCCAGCG